UGGGGAAUUUUCCGCAAUGGGCGAGAGCCUGACGGAGCAAUACCGCGUGAGGGAGGAAGGCUUUUGGGUUGUAAACCUCUUUUAUUAAGGAAGAAGAAAGUGACGGUACCUAAAGAAACAGCAUCGGCUAACUCCGUGCCAGCAGCCGCGGUAAUACGGAGGGUGCGAGCGUUGUCCGGAAUUAUUGGGCGUAAAGAGCGUGUAGGCGGCCAGGUAAGUCUGUCGUGAAAUGCUGGGGCUCAACCCUGGACGUGCGAUGGAUACUGCUUGGCUAGAGGAUGGUAGAGGCGAGUGGAAUUCCCGGUGUAGCGGUGAAAUGCGCAGAUAUCGGGAGGAACACCAGUAGCGAAGGCGGCUCGCUGGGCCAUUCCUGACGCUGAGACGCGAAAGCAUGGGGAGCGAACAGGAUUAGAUACCCCCGUAGUCC
rnacentral:rRNA from 1 species